rnacentral:tRNA from 1 species
GGUAGCUUGGCCGAGUGGCCGAAGGCAACGGGUUGCUAACCCGUACAGUCGAAAGGCUGCGUAGGUUCGAAUCCUACAGCUACCGCCA